CCCUUCGUCUCCGUUGCAUCGUUUCGCGGCACUGGCCGCAUAGUGGCGCCACUCUUGCGACGGAUUAUUAUGGGGCAAUUUUCUGAAAUAAUUUGCAAUUUUCUUCCGGUAGCGGUUAUGAGACAUUGUGAAGUUUCUUGAUCGAUAGCUUGAAUAUAAACGUGAAAAAUGUGAGUAUUUUAUUGAUGAAGAUAAUUAAAACUGGAUGAAGGCGAAAUCGUAAUAAUGGCUUAAGAUCGCGGACAGUUUGAAGGGGCUCACCCGGAAUGGACAGCCUAUAUAAAUAUCCCCUCCAGGGGACGAGAAGACUCGGUGCAAACGAGUGAUCCAGGAGAAAGCCUCUCGUUCGAUUGGCCCCACGAACCGGUAUAACCGAGACAAUUCCAGUUUAUUUGCAGACAGAAAGCAAGUCAGCCAUUCUGCUCACCGAACUCGAUUUGUGCACGAAUUCGACGCAAGCAACGCGAUGUAUUGAUCACACGUUGCGAUCUAAUGGGUCACGAAACACUAUCGAGCUAUAAAUACUUAGCUGUAAUCGAUAUCAAUUGAUGUGCUCGUCGAUCAGAAAGAUUUAAUCGAAAUUCACAGUGGCCGCAGGUUUGGCUAUUCCUCUAUACAUUCAGCAAAAACGAAACAUCAGUGAAAGGGAAACUAUUAAGCUUUAAACGACAGAGAGAAGCACUCAUACGAUCCUAGUAAUAAUUCGACGUUGUUAAAUACCAAUCAGGAGAAUUCAGCAACGACCGGUUUAUCGGAUCGUUCUAAACGUAGAACUGUUCUUCGAACUUCUAGAGCAGAAAAGAAAAUUGCCUGUAUAUACCGGUUUGUGAACGAAUUUCAAGCGCCUUUUCCAAGCGCAAAAUAUUCGCGUCAGCUUGAACGAAACAGGAUCGAGAGAAGUGAGAGGCGGCUUAUAGUAUGUAUAUGGUGGCGCGAUCUUAUGCAAUCUCAUGAUAGGAAUCAUGGGUCAGUCACUUGGCCGGCUCAUGGUGCUUCCAUGCGUUAUGAUUCUCCGGCCAGGAAAAAAGAACUGUCGUACGGCAGACAGCUUUUAUCGAAGACAUAGGUUACGACCAUGGUACUACAUAUUGUAGCAAAUUGUAAAAUAUCAAUGAAGAGAAAGCUAUAGUUAUUCUUUGUUUAUCUAUAAUGGAGAUCAAGACGAGAACUUCUACCUAGUAAUUGAUCAUCAAUGUUGUCAAAAUACUAUACAAACAUAACAUUAAUACAUAAUACUAAUACAAACACAAUACUGGAAAAUACUACGAUUUCAUACAACGUAAUACCAUAAUAAUCAACAUAUAAAUUAACAUAUAACAAAGAAGAUUCUAUUGAAAAGUAAAUGAACACUUCCCCCAGGAGAAAGAUAGAGCUACUCGAUCUCAUAAACUCUUUACACACCCAAACAACGUAAUAUCGUAAUAAUUAAUUGACAAUAAAGAAGAUUAGAUUCCAUUGUUAAACGUCGUGUCUAACAAAACGCAUGUACUACGUGACGAACUGAUAUUAGUCAAACGCACAAGAAUUUAGAAAGUAACGGGUCACUUACGAGCCUCAAUUACUCCCAACAUCGAACGAUACGUUUGCAAAACGUUUUAAUAUUUCAAAGUACCGAGGGAAGGUCUCAGCUUAGAAAGUAUACGAUUUUUAUCUCACGGAUGAAUAAUAUCCCGACCAGGGAGCAUCGAUUCACCUGCGGGUGAUAAAACGAAUCAUAAAUUUCUCUUACUUUCACUCUCGUUCGUUUACAUUGUUACGGAUAAUUGAUCGAGUGUAGUUUGCUGAUUAGAACAGAUUACCAGGUAUCCUUGCGAGAUUAACCUAACAAUGAUGAAGCUUCCCUUCAUCAGUUUGGAUUUCAUUCUCUAUCUUUAUUUUGUCUCUUUUUCGUCCAUUCUUUGUUUCCAUUUUAUUGAUUUAUACAUUGUUUUUAUCAAAUUUAUUUUCCUUUUUAUUAUCAUUUAUAUUUUUCCCCCGAUAUCUUUUAUAUUUUUUAGUAUUUUUAGUUUCUUUGCUAUAUCUUGUAAUUUCUCUGUCAACUUUGCUUUUUUUAUUGUUUUCAUUGUAUUCGUUACCUUCCUUUUGACUUUCUACGUAUAUUAUAUCUAUAUUAUAGGAAAUCGAUUUCUUUCUCUUAUUAUUUCUCUUACAUAUAAAGCAAUUCACUAAUAAACGCCGCUAACAAAUCUCGCUCUUAUGAAAUUGCUGAUGUUUCUAACCAAUGACUCUAGUUAUCUCUUUCUAUCAUUAUACAAUUUAAUCUCUCCUAAGUUUUUCUACAUCGAACUUAAUUUUACUUUUUAAUACAUUUCCACAAAUUCUAAAUAAAAAUAGACAACCAUAUCUCAUGUCCUUUAUUAACUAGUUUUACUCUUUUCCUAGCGAGAGGAGCCCUCAAUAAAACACCUAAUUAAUGAACUUUGUAACCAACAAAAAUGACCUGAAAGUCUAUAUCAUUUUUCUUCAUUGUCUCCAACAAACUUCUAGCGAAACCGAAAGCGAAAAGCUAGGAUUAAAAGGAAAAAAGGAAGUGGUAUCGUGCAAGCUAAUUUUGGUGAACGUGUUUCCGCGAUAGCACACGGAAACAACCUGAAGCAACCAGCCCAUCAAACUAACCGCCUUUCUUCCUCCUGGUACUAGAAAGCUUCCAUGGAAUUACACAAAAUUACAAUCGGACGUCAAGCUUGGCCUUUUCUAUUCCUAUCCCAUUCUUCGCCCGUAUUGCGUUACAUCUGGAGGAUACACGAAGUCCUAGAAACGAUGGAUUACUAUCAUGAAUCUAAUUGAUUGCGAAGACAAUGGAUUUUUCUAUCUGUGACAACAUUGCCUCCACUUUGAGGAUCGUCAUAGGUGAAAGCGAGACAAAUUCCUCCACUGUGUCCAGCCCCCUACUGCUCUUUCUCUGUAAUUACUUUAAUAAUCCACCUUCGUAUCAACCUUAUUUCCAAUGUCCUAGGAACUCCUUUCCCUGGCCACACAGUUUAGGUUGUUUCUUAAGUUUGUCUGGACAAUAGGUGUGACAUCAUAUUAUUGAUAAAAUAUAAGAUUAAGCGCGGAAUUGCAAUUUUGUUUUACAUUUUACCUCAGAAGUUUAACUGUUAAUACAUAACCUUCAAAAGCAAAGGACAUUUCCAUGUUUCAUUUUCUGCAGUCGUUCCUACGACAAUAUCCAUCAUCUUUUUAUCCAUUCAUAUUCUCUCAAUCAUUUCAAGUAUUCCAUCAUUGUUCAUUCAAUUACGAUUGCACCAUAGAGACUCGUUUUUGCAAACACGUAACGCAAGAUGAUCUUUUAAGAGUGAUGACAAUAUUUUACAAAUGGUGUUCGAUGCUUUUCACAGAACUUCCAUUUUCUUUAUUACUAACAACCUUUGUUGAAAGCACACAAAAAAGAAAAAAAUACAAUUUGCGACUACCUUAAGGAAACAGUGAAAUUACGGGUAUCUACCGCUGGAAGGCGAAUGCUGGUGGAAAUUAUCAAAAAACAUAAACUUUAAUCUCUUUCUUAAGCGCCACGAGCUCGAAAAAGUUGUUAUAAAAAAAUGAAACGACCUGUUUAUGUUCUUAAUCAAUAGUUAUAUCAUUAAAUAUACAUCAUUAAAUUUUCAGUACUGUAAGUCAGUACCUUAGAAUAGUUACAGUAACUUUUGCGUCGUUCAAUUUAAUAAUUAAUUAAAUUCUUUGAUCAUUAAAUUUGAAUUUUUUAAUUGGUUGAUCUUGAGAAAGAAAGAUUUUGAAAAGUCAAAUUACCAAUUACAAAUAGUCUAAGUUGAAAUUCUUUUAAAAUUAGGCUACAAAUUCAAAAAGUUUGCAAUAUAAAUUUAAGAAAUUUCUAGAUUUCCUCGUAGAGAAUAAUUUAUAAGCAAAGAACUUGAUGUCCGACCAUGUGACCAUAAGCAAACCUAUUCUACUUUUCCCAACUAAAUCCCUAGAGUUCCAUUUCUAAAUUCAAAAACAAAUUAUAAAAUGUUCUGAAAAUAAUAAGAAAUUGUGUAACAAGUUUUGUCAAAAAUAUUUUAAAGACAUUACAUUUAAAAAAUAUAUUAUAUAAUAAAACUUAAAAAUAUUGUAUACAUGUACAUACAUAGCAUUUGAUAUUACUCUACGUUCAAAAAUUGCAUGCUACUGUACCACAUUCCAAUUAAACUGCACUAAAAGCUAUAUAACGAAGAGAGAGGCGACGAGAAUUGUUUAAUUUAGGUAAUAACGAAGUACAGCUCGAAAAGUUAUGGCAUGCAAGAAUGUUAGCCUCUUCAACUAAAAUUACAGACUACUUGAGUAAUUAUGUUAUUGUUUUCGUGAUUACGCUAACGUCGACGAACUCUACCGUUGAACUGCGUUGAUUGUACUUGAUUGUCUCGAAUGAAUAUUAUCUUCGUGUAUCAACUCGUUUUAAACGAUUAAAGUUAGAAUUGUCAACUAUGUACCUUAAGUGAAGCGCGUCACACGCAUUCAUCCCCCUAUCACGAAUGGAAGCUGCAAUUACGUUAAUUAUUUUUAUUGCAGCAUUUUUGACGCGUGUUAUAACGUCA